UACAGAGGUGCCGAGCGUUAGGCGGAAUCACUGGGCUUAAAGCGUGUGUAGGCGGGCCGUUAAGUGUCUUGUGAAAUCCCCCGGCUCAACCGGGGAAUUGCUGGGCAUACUGGCGGUCUUGAGCAGUUCAGGGGCAGAUGGAACAAGUGGUGGAGCGGUGAAAUGCGUAGAUAUCACUUGGAACGCCAACGGUGAAAACAGUCUGCUGGGAACUUGCUGACGCUGAGACACGAAAGCCAGGGGAGCGAACGGG
rnacentral:rRNA from 1 species